rnacentral:rRNA from 1 species
AUUGAACGCUGGCGGCAUGCUUUACACAUGCAAGUCGAACGGUAACAGGGAGCUUGCUCCGCUGACGAGUGGCGAACGGGUGAGUAAUGCGUCGGAACGUGCCGAGUAGUGGGGGAUAACGCAUCGAAAGGUGUGCUAAUACCGCAUACGAACUGAGGUUGAAAGUGGGGGACCUUCGGGCCUCACGCUAUUCGAGCGGCCGACGUCUGAUUAGCUAGUUGGUGAGGUAAAGGCUCACCAAGGCGACGAUCAGUAGCGGGUCUGAGGAUGAUCCGCCACACUGGGAAUGAGACACGGCCCGAGCUCCUACGGGAGGCAGCAGGGGGGAAUUUUGGACAAUGGGCGAAAGCCUGAUCCAGCAAUGCCGCGUGUGUGAAGAAGGCCUUCGGGUUGUAAAGCACUUUUGUCCGGAAAGAAAUGGCUCUGGUUAAUACCUGGGGUCGAUGACGGUACCGGAAGAAUAAGGACCGGCUAACUACGUGCCAGCAGCCGCAGUAAAAC